GAUGAACGCUGGCGGCGUGCUUAACACGUGCAAGUCGAACGAGAAGUGAAGACGGAAACCUUCUGGCGGAAGGCUUUAUUUCGAGUGGCGGACGGGGGAGUAACGCGUGGGUAACCUGCCUCAUACAGGGGGAUAACAGUGGGAAACGACUGUUAAUACCGCAUAAGACCACAGCACCGCAUGGUGCGGGGGUAAACACUCCGGUGGUAUGAGAUGGACCCGCGUUCGAUUAGCCAGUUGGCGGGGUAACGGCCCACCAAAGCGACGAUCGAUAGCCGAUCUGAGAGGAUGACCGGCCACAUUGGGACUGAGACACGGCCCAAACUCCUACGGGAGGCAGCAGUGGGGAAUAUUGCACAAUGGGGGAAACCCUGAUGCAGCGACGCCGCGUGAGUGAAGAAGUAGUUCGGUAUGUAAAGCUCUAUCAGCAGGGAAGAAAAUGACGGUACCUGAGUAAGAAGCCCCGGCUAACUACGUG
rnacentral:rRNA from 1 species